rnacentral:rRNA from 1 species
AGUGAACGCUGGCGGUAGGCCUAACACAUGCAAGUCGAACGGCAGCACAGUAAGAGCUUGCUCUUACGGGUGGCGAGUGGCGGACGGGUGAGGAAUAUAUCGGAAUCUACUUUUUCGUGGGGGAUAACGUAGGGAAACUUACGCUAAUACCGCAUACGACCUACGGGUGAAAGCAGGGGAUCUUCGGACCUUGCGCGAUUGAAUGAGCCGAUGUCGGAUUAGCUAGUUGGCGGGGUAAAGGCCCACCAAGGCGACGAUCCGUAGCUGGUCUGAGAGGAUGAUCAGCCACACUGGAACUGAGACACGGUCCAGACUCCUACGGGAGGCAGCAGUGGGGAAUAUUGGACAAUGGGCGCAAGCCUGAUCCAGCCAUGCCGCGUGGGUGAAGAAGGCCUUCGGGUUGUAAAGCCCUUUUGGUGGGAAAGAAGAGCAGCAAGUUAAUACCCCGCUGUUCUGACGGUACCCAAAGAAUAAGCACCGGCUAACUUCGUG